rnacentral:tRNA from 1 species
AUCUAAUGGGAUGGGAAUCGAACCCACGACCUUCCGCUUACCGGGAAGAUGCCAUGACCACUAGGCUACCCUGGA